rnacentral:lncRNA from 1 species
AUGACCCUGUGUGUCUCUGCAGGUGGAUGUCCCCUGGGUCCUGGUGACAGUUGCCUCUGCGGGCUGAAGGCCUGAGAGUGGUGACCAGCAACCUGCUACUGCUUCAGAAAGAGCCCGCCCACCUACGAGAAAACUUCAAGCCCUUCUCCAGCUGGCCCCAGCACGGCAGGCACCGGCUCCAGGGCUAGGAAGGCCACCAGCCCCUUGUCACUCGGCAUCUGCUCUCCUGCCGUCCUUUAGGAAGCCAUCUCUGAUUAUCCCCGACAAGCCACCCUUUGGCACUGCCACCUCGGUGCACCUUCUCCUCCAGCCCCUGAGGACUGGAGGUUAGAAGUGAGGCGAAUUCCCUGACCCGAGGGUAGAGAGGGACCACCAAGGUCUCCUGAAUAAGUGACCUAUCCAGACAGUAGUCAGUGCUGGAAGGAUAAAGCAAGGGGUGGAGCAGACAGGAGCUCCCAGCCCCCUCCCACAGGGAUCCAGAAGCAGGGAGCCCUACACUCUCCCCCUGCCCAACCCCAAAUCGAGAUGCCAGGCAGACCCGGGAACCUGCCUACAACAGAUCUACCUGGGAACCCUGGGGACAAAGCAGAAAUAUUGGGAAAUGGGAUUCUGGGAGCCACACCUGGUGUCUGGCUCUCAUUUGCUCCAGAGCUGCCCCCUGGACACCCACAGGUAGGAGCAGCUUGAUGCUGGUUUCGUGUCUUGGGUCACCAGGACAUGUCAGCAGCCCCUGCUGCCACGUGGAUUCAUAGCCAGGAAGAUGCCAAGAAAC